GUGAAGAACGCAGCGAAAUGCGAUAAGUAAUGUGAAUUGCAGAAUUCAGUGAAUCAUCGAAUCUUUGAACGCACAUUGCGCCCGCCAGUAUUCUGGCGGGCAUGCCUGUUCGAGCGUCAUUUCAACCAUCAAGCCCCCGGCUUGUGUUGGGGACCUGCGGCUGCCGCAGGCCCUGAAAAGCAGUGGCGGGCUCGCUGUCACACCGAGCGUAGUAGCAUACAUCUCGCUCUGGGCGUGCUGCGGGUUCCGGCCGUUAAACCACCUUCAUAACCCAAGGUUGACCUCGGAUCAGGUAGGAAGACCCGCUGAACUUAAGCAUAUCAAUAAGCGGAGGA
rnacentral:misc_RNA from 1 species